UACGGGGGGGGGCAAGCGUUGUUCGGAAUUCCUGGGCGUAAAGGGUUCGUAGGUGGCCAACUAAGUCAGACGUGAAAUCCCUCAGCUUAACUGGGGAACUGCGUCUGAGACUGGAUGGCUUGAGUGCAGGAGAGGAACGCGGAAUUCCAGGUGUAGCGGUGGAAUGCGUAGAUAUCUGGAGGAACACCGGUGGCGAAGGCGGCGUUCUGGACUGCAACUGACACUGAUGAACGAAAGCCAGGGGAGCAAACGGG
rnacentral:rRNA from 1 species